rnacentral:tRNA from 1 species
AAACUUAGGAUAACACAAACCAAAG